UGAGUAGGCGGUAAUAUGUGUCAGAUGUAAAAGGCCAUGGCUUAACCAUAGUUGGCAUUUGAAACUGUAUUACUUGAGUGCAGGAGAGGUAAGUGGAAUUCCUAGUGUAGCGGUGAAAUGCGUAGAUAUUAGGAGGAACACCAGUGGCGAAGGCGACUUACUGGACUGUAACUGACGCUGAGUCACGAAAGCGUGGGUAGCAAACA
rnacentral:rRNA from 1 species